GUGCUCAUGUUGGCAGCACAUACACUAAAUUUGGAACACUGCAGAGAAGAUUAGCAUGGCCCCAGACCAAGGAUGACAUGCAUUUGUGAAGUGUCCCAUCUUUUU